AGUGACAAAGUUCAACGGCCGCGGUACCCUAACCGUGCGAAGGUAGCAUAAUCACUUGUUCUUUAAAUGAGGACUUGUAUCAACGGCACUACGAGGGCUAUACUGUCUCCUUUUUCUAAUCAGUGAAACUGAUCUCCCCGUGAAGAAGCGGGGAUCAAAAUAUAAGACGAGAAGACCCCAUGGAGCUUUAAACUCACCACACACCUCUGUGAUGCUAUACCAUUAAACACAAGAAAUCUGUGUGCUAGUUUUAGGUUGGGGUGACCACGGAGUACAAUUUAACCUCCAUAACAAAUGGGCUAAUACCCUUAUCCACGAGACACAACUCUAAGAAUUACUAAACUAAUGCUUAUGACCCGAUAUUCGAUCAAUGAACCAAGUUACCCUGGGGAUAACAGCGCAAUCUACUUCAAGAGUCCCUAUCGACAAGUAGGUUUACGACCUCGAUGUUGGAUCAGGGUAUCCCGGUGGUGCAGCCGCUACCGAUGGUUCGUUUGUUCAACGAUUAAAACCCUACGUGA
rnacentral:rRNA from 1 species